AGACCCCACUGCCCACCAUGUGCCUGCCAGUCAGCCUGGGCUAGGGCUGCCCUGGUCAGAGGUCUGGGCCUGCCUUUGCCCUCAAGCUGGCUCUUCAGGAGCGGCUUGGGUUCUACGUGAGCCCCGAGGAUGAGACUGGAGCCGGGGCCUGCUGCUGCUGGAAGCACAGCCAACGCAAAGAAAAGCCUUUGUUCUUGGUGCGUUGGUCAUUAAGAGGAGUCGGAAUCCCUCUGCCAGCCCCUCCCCUCCAACAAAGGAACAAAACAGCAGCUAUUUUUAGACUCGUGUCAAACUCCCCCUCAGAACCUGGGUGGGGAGUCCCAGGAGAGGCGCGUCUGCGAGGGCUCUAAUGAGCCUGCGGCCGGCAGGUCCUGCUCUCCAGGCAGCUGGCCCUUGGCUCUGCCGGGGGAGAAGCGAGCCCAGGAUAGUCCCGAGACAAAGAGGAAGGCCAGACAAUGAGAACAAUGCCCGGAGCCCCAGGAUGCCCACUUCCGGGGAGCAACCCCCACUCUUUGGAAGGAGAUCUCCCUGGACACAGGGCAAGGGCAUCAGGACAUCCCCUACCUUGUGUAAUCCUCCAGGCACCUCACUGGCUCCGUGUCCCAGAGGAGACUCUAGGUGUUCCUCUUCACCCUCGGCGUUUCCCUGAGUCCUCUACAAACCCUUGAAAAACAACCGAUGAUUAUCUCCGUUGAUGGAUGAGGAAAGUGAGGCCGGUGCUCCUUCCUUCCAAGUAUGGGACAGGACCCCCUCUGGAAUGGGGAUCUUGUGACCUACAAGCCAAACAAAAAUAAAAUCAAAUGAGGACCUGGAGGGCCUUUGAUCACAGAGUUGGAGACAAUCCCCCAGGGGAUGGCAGAUGAAGAUGAAGGAAGUACAGUCCCAGAAUGUUUUCAGUGAGAACUGCCUCCUCAGCUUGGGGCUUCUUAGCUUUAGAUUCUUAUGUGAAAAAGAAAGAAAUGUCCAGCUUGCUUGA